rnacentral:lncRNA from 1 species
AGAUAAUCUGCUGGGAAUCUCUUGGGUUGACAGUUCUUGGAUCCCCAUUUUGAACAGUGGUAGUGUCCUGGAUUACUUUUCAGAAAGAAGCAAUCCUUUUUAUGACAGGACGUGUAAUAAUGAAGUGGUUAAAAUGCAGAGGCUGACAUUAGAGCACUUGAAUCAGAUGGUUGGAAUCGAAUACAUCCUUUUACAUGCUCAAGAGCCCAUUCUUUUCAUCAUUCGAAAGCAACAGCGGCAGUCCCCCGCUCAAGUUAUUCCACUGGCUGAUUACUAUAUCAUCGCUGGAGUCAUCUAUCAGGCGCCAGACUUGGGAUCAGUUAUAAACUCCAGAGUGCUUACCGCAGUGCAUGGCAUUCAGUCAGCUUUUGAUGAAGCUAUGUCAUACUGUCGAUAUCAUCCUUCCAAAGGGUAUUGGUGGCACUUUAAAGAUCAUGAAGAGCAAGAUAAAGUCAAACCUAAAGCCAAAAGGAAAGAAGAACCAAGCUCUAUUUUCCAGAGACAACGUGUGGAUGCUUUACUCAUAGACCUCAGACAGAAAUUUCCACCCAGAUUUGUUCAGCAAAAGUCUGGAGAGAAGCCUGUCCCAGGUAUGGUUCAUCUGCUGUUCUUACUAAACUGAAAUUACAGUGAAGCAGCCUGUUUAAUGUUCUAACAGCAGCAGCAUGGAGAUGAGCUGCCACUGUUUUGUCUUUU